AUUGAACGCUGGCGGUAUGCUUAACACAUGCAAGUCGAACGGUAACAGGCCUUCGGGCGCUGACGAGUGGCGGACGGGUGCGUAACGCGUAGGAAUCUGCCGAUUAGUGGGGGACAACGUGGGGAAACUCACGCUAAUACCGCAUACGCCCUACGGGGGAAAGCGGGGGACCUUCGGGCCUCGCGCUAAUCGAUGAGCCUGCGUGGGAUUAGCUAGUUGGUAGGGUAAAGGCCUACCAAGGCGACGAUCCCUAGCUGGUCUGAGAGGACGAUCAGCCACACUGGGACUGAGACACGGCCCAGACUCCUACGGGAGGCAGCAGUGGGGAAUAUUGGACAAUGGGCGCAAGCCUGAUCCAGCAAUACCGCGUGUGUGAAGAAGGCCUGAGGGUUGUAAAGCACUUUUAAUCGGGAGGAAUAGCGGUCGGUUAAUACCCGGUCGUCUGACAUUACCGAUAGAAAAAGCACCGGCUAACUCCGUGCCAGCCGCCGCAGUAAAAC
rnacentral:rRNA from 1 species